UUUACCGGUUGGCCUGUCUUCUGUCUGUUUUGAAUUUUGAUAAAAAAAUUAUCGUUUCGUAACAGAUAAACCAACGUGUCUCUUAGAUUUAGGCAUUUGUAAAAGUGCCUAUAUAUUUUUAAAUAAUGGAAGCCCUUAUACCAGUUAUUAAUAAACUACAAGAUGUGUUCAAUACAGUUGGAGCUGAUGCCAUUCAAUUACCCCAAAUAGCUGUUUUAGGAACCCAGAGCUCUGGUAAAAGUUCAGUGAUAGAAAGCCUGGUAGGUCGCUCAUUUCUGCCUCGGGGUCCUGGGAUAGUCACUCGGCGUCCUCUCAUUCUCCAGUUAGUCUACAGUCCAAAAGAAGGCAAAGAACAUCGCUCAGCUGAAGAAGGUACUCUUAAUCUAGAAGAAUGGGGAAAGUUCCUACACACAAAAGACAAAAUUUACACAAACUUUGAAGAGAUAAGACAAGAAAUAGAAAGAGAAACUGACCGUAUGGCUGGCAGCAACAAGGGAAUAUCUCCAGAACCUAUAAACUUGAAAAUAUAUUCAACCACAGUUGUCAACCUUACUUUAGUCGAUCUACCCGGUAUAACAAAGGUGCCAAUAGGUGAUCAACCAGAAGACAUAGAAAACCAAAUCAGAAACCUUAUUAUUAAGUAUAUCUCUAACCCAAAUUCCAUUAUAUUAGCUGUAACAGCUGCUAAUACAGACAUGGCGACUAGUGAAGCCAUCAAAUUGGCUAAGGAUGUGGACCCUGAUGGCCGAAGGACAUUGGCUGUUGUCACCAAACUUGAUCUCAUGGAUGCAGGAACUGAUGCAAUAGAUAUUCUGUGUGGGCGCGUUAUUCCGGUUAAACUAGGAAUCAUUGGCGUCGUAAAUAGAUCACAACAAGACAUUAUUGAUAAGAAAACCAUCACGGAUGCACUGAAAGAUGAAGCCACUUAUCUCCAAAGGAAGUAUCCCACUAUAGCAACACGUAAUGGAACUCCGUAUUUAGCUAAAACAUUGAAUAGACUACUCAUGCAUCAUAUAAGAGAUUGCCUACCAGAACUUAAGGUGCGUGUUAAUGUAAUGAUAUCACAAUUCCAAUCUCUUCUGAACUCCUACGGCGAAGAUGUGUCGGACAAGUCUCAGACGUUAUUGCAAAUUAUAACGAAAUUCGCGAGUGCUUAUUGUUCGACAAUAGAAGGUACCGCCAGGAACAUUGAGACCACUGAACUUUGUGGCGGCGCCAGAAUCUGUUAUAUAUUCCACGAAACUUUUGGACGCACUUUGGACUCCAUACAUCCUUUAGUAGGUUUGACCCGCAUGGACAUUUUGACCGCGAUCCGCAACGCUACAGGCCCUAGACCGGCUUUAUUCGUCCCUGAGGUAUCUUUUGAGCUUCUAGUAAAGCGACAGAUUAGAAGACUGGAAGACCCGUCGUUACGUUGUGUUGAACUGGUACACGAAGAAAUGCAGAGGAUCGUUCAGCACUGCGGCACCGAAGUCCAACAGGAAAUGCUACGUUUCCCGCGCCUGCACCAGCGCAUCGUCGACGUCGUCACCCAACUGCUGAGGACUAGAUUGCCCCCGACCAAUUCUAUGGUGGAGAACCUGGUGGCUAUCGAGCUUGCGUACAUAAACACGAAGCACCCCGACUUCCACCGCGAGGCGGCGCUGGUAUCCGGCCUGCUGAAGAGCGGCGACGACGACCACAGUCCCGUCUACAGACACAAGACUCCUAGGCCUUCGCCCUCACCGGUAUCCAACUUGAUCAAAAAUGUUCCCGCUAUAACCGAUGGUCACGAGAAAUCUCCACAAAACAUCAGCGAAACACCGUCGACCCCACAGCUCAACGGAAUGCCAGAUAACAAGGCACUGACUCCUCAGAAGCCAGUGAACCUUCUGCCCGAAGUACCGAUCCAAACAUCACGUAAACUGUCAGAACGUGAACAACACGACUGUGACGUCAUAGGUGGACGGAGCGACAACACAACAGUCUUAAACAGUAACGUAAAGACAGUAGACGGCAUCAACGUGAUGCAACUGAAUCAAAUGGGUGAUUUAGUUGAGAGACUGAUCAAGUCUUAUUUCUACAUCGUCCGGAAAUCCAUUCAGGACUCUGUACCAAAGGCUGUUAUGCAUUUCUUAGUGAAUUUUGUGAAGGACAAUCUGCAGUCCGAGCUCGUCACUCACCUGUACAAGUCUGACCAGGCCGAGAGCAUGCUCAACGAGUCUGAGCACAUCGCACAGCGGAGGAAGGAGGCCGCCGACAUGCUAAAGGCUUUACAACGUGCCGGUCAAAUCAUAAGCGAGAUCCGCGAGACGCACAUGUGGUGAUGGUCCUCAGACGAACGAGACUCUAGUCUGUGAAAUAGUGAAAUGAGCGGACAGCUCUGUACAUAUACUGUUUAGUUUAAAAUCACAUUGGAUAUGUGUAUAUUAGCCUUUUUUUUACAUGAGACAUACAUUUGCUCUGAGGUUCUGCAGCUCUCUUCAACGUUACAAAUACAUGACAAAUAUGUCGAGAACCAAAAAAAAAAUGAAAUGAGUCCGAGCAGAAAUUAAUUAAGCAAAUGCAUGUCAAUUUUUAAUUGCCGGUGUGACACGAUUUAUUUCUUGAUAAGAAGAGCACCCGUAUGUCUGUGUGCUUAGUGCGAGUUUUUUAACUUCUCGAUCAUGUAAAAGUUAACUCAGAAGGGUGGCUCAUUUGCGUUCUAGAUGUCCAUGGGCUCCAGUAACCACUUAACACCAGGUGGGCUGUGAGCUC
rnacentral:misc_RNA from 1 species